AUGUCUGUAGUUGAAUAUUACAACGUUAAAUUGCAAAUUUAAGGGUGUGAUGAGGCCCAUCACUAGGCGUU
rnacentral:tRNA from 1 species